UACAGAGGUCUCAAGCGUUGUUCGGAUUCAUUGGGCGUAAAGGGUGCGCAGGCGGUUUUGUAAGCCAGAUGUGAAAUCCCCGGGCUUAACCUGGGAAUGGCAUUUGGGACUGCAAAGCUUGAGUGCGGCAGAGGGGACUGGAAUUCCUGGUGUAGCAGUGAAAUGCGUAGAGAUCAGGAGGAAUACCGAUGGCGAAGGCAGGUCCCUGGGCUGACACUGACGCUCAUGCACGAAAGCGUGGGGAGCAAACAGG
rnacentral:rRNA from 1 species